UAAAAAUUUUUGUAGUUUAAAAAAUUUAUUUAAAGUUUAUUUUACAUAUAAAUUUUAGUGUUAAUAUUAAUUUAUUUUAAUAAUAAAUUUUAUUUUUUUAUUUAGUAAUUAAUAUUAAAAUAUUUAAGAAAUUAAUAUUUAGUAAUAUUUAAAUUAAUAACUAAUUUUGUGCCAGCAGUUGCGGUUAAACAAAGAUUAAGUUAAAUUUUAUUAGUUAAGUUAAUUAAUAUUAAUAAAAUAAAAUAAUUUAAAUUUAAGAUUAUUAGGUGAAAUUUUAAUUUUAUAAAAAAUUAUUUAAAAUAUAUGAUUUAAUAAAUUUAUUUAAAAACUAGGAUUAGAUACCCUAUUAUUAAAAUUUUAAAUUAAUAAAUACUAAAAUAGUAGGUAAUUAUUUAUUGAAACUUAAACAAUUUGGCGGUAUUUUAGUUCAUUUAGAGGAAUCUGUUUAAUAAUUGAUAAUCCACGAAUAAAUUUACUUAGUUUAUAAUUUUGUAUAUCGUUGUUAAAAAAAUAUUUUUAGAUAAAAGUAAUAUUUUAAAAUUAAAAAUAAAAUUAAAUCAGAUCAAGAUGCAGAUUAUAAUUAAGAAUAUAAUGGAUUACAAUAAAUUUAUUUAAAUGAAUUUUAAUUUGAAAAAAUUAAUUGAAAUUGGAUUUAAAUGUAAUUUUAUUUAGUUUAAUAAAAUGAUUAAAAAUUGAAAUAUGUACAUAUUGCCCGUCGCUUUCAUAUAAAUAAAUAAAAUUGAAAUAAGUCGUAACAAAGUAGAGGUACUGGAAAGUGUUUCUAGAAAGAC
rnacentral:ncRNA from 1 species